AUGGUGGACUGCAAAGUUCCACCUGUUAGCCUGAAAGCAGUCUGUAAGCAAAGCACUGUGCUGCACAGGAUGUGCUGGGAAGGCAGUGCAGCACAAACACCAUUCAGAAAGGUCAUGGGGAGAACAGGCAAAGUCAUAUUGGCAAUGUCAAGUCUCAGUCAUCAGUAUGGUGCACUGGAAAGGCUUUGUGCGAAAGCCUUGAGGGCUGAGAGGCAGCUGACAGCCAUUAUCCGAGGCCAAGAGCACCUGGGAACGCCAGGAUCUGACCCCAUUUGGGCAUCUCAUCUCAAGGUAUCUCAACACUCAUCAUUUUCCUGUCAUUUGAAUUUCCAAACUGUUGGUGUAUUUAAAUGCAUAGUGGCUCCGUGCCACCCCAGGCAGAACUCAGCACUGGGUAGGAUAGAAAACGCUGACAGAAGGACCCAACAUUGACAGAAAGUACUUACUGUUGCAGCAGCUUCCAGAAGCCCUUGCUUACUCAGUGCACAAGAAAAGUAUGAUGUUGCUCUCUUUGCACUCUGCACAUCACUAAAGAAAAGCAAUUAAGUGAAUGCUGUCAUGGUAUAAAGUCUUCUCUCAGUAGCUUAAAUCACAGGGUAUAGCUAAUGCCAGCUCCAGAACAGAGAUGCAGUAAGAGAAUACUCAGAGGCUGCUUGCUCAGCCCUGCUCACCCUGCCGGCUGGUCACACACUGUGUGCUUAGUCAGCCACAGAGCCAGGAUUUGAUUUACUAUUUCUCAGUUCUGUAACACUCCCUCUGUGUGAACCUGAGGAAAAUGGGAGAAGGGCAAAUAAGCAUCUAACCUGGAUUAAAUGGCAGUAGGAAGAGCUUCUUUGAUAUAUAUUUUUUUUUUCUACUGUGUUUUUAUAAGGGCUGCAUUCUGCUUAUAAGUGUUUCAAUGAAAUGUUUGUAACUCGUGUGCUGCAUGCUGCACUAUCACUGUUCUGCUGCAGUCAUUCACCUGCACACAGCUCUGGGAUAAGCCCUGGGACGUGGUCGUCCUGGGCAGCAUUUUGGGAGCACUUUUAUGCAGAACUCAGAGUGCUGUCCUGCUGCAGUCCUUACCCAGGAUAUUUUAUUCCAGCAGUAUAAGGAACAGCUUUGAUACUUGUAACACAUCAUUGCUACCUGCUGAUCUGCCACGCUCCUCUGUUCUGCUCGCUGUGCCUGCAAGUCUGUCACGUAGCAGCUGCAAGCUGGAUUGGCACUUGCUGGCUGAUGCUGCAUGUUGAAUCAGUUGAGGUUCACCAGUAAAAGUAUCAGACAUCAGUAGUUCAGAAGAUUUCCUUUCAUCAUUCAGUGCUCUGAUCAUAAAUGCUGGCAGCACUGCAGACUUUGAUUGACAGAUUUUGUUCUACCUCAGGUUCCCGAUAUCUGAUUUUUGCUAUGUUCAGCCAAGCUGUCUAGAAACAUCUUGUCCCGUUUCAGUCUUAUCUCAAUAGUUUCUUUCCCUCAUCUCUGCUUGGCUGCUGCAUUACGAGGUGGGUGACAGCAGUUGUUCCAGCCCCUUUUGAAGGGGUGUAUGACAGCCUACAGCUCCUGCCCUGGCAUUUAAUGUGAGUUCUUGGUCGCAUGUUCUGACUGGGGGGAAAAAAAAAUCUGAUUUUUCAGCUGGUUUUCAGGUGAAGGUAGAGGUAUUAAGGACAUUCUAUGCUCUUUCAUACAAGGUUUGCUGAAGCGAGUCUCAUCCAUCUGAAUUAGAGAGCCAGGGUCCACCUGUGCCUAUUAGAUUGGUUAGAAUGGUCCAGUGAUUUAUUACAAAUAAGUGCCACAGAAGUGAAGCAUUUCAGGAGCAAAUCUUGAGAAUCAAAUCUCAGUUGGCAGCAGUUUGUCACAUCUCC
ensembl:lncRNA